rnacentral:rRNA from 1 species
AUACGAGUGGUGCAAGCGUUAUUCGGAAUCAUUGGGCGUACAGGGUGUGUAGGCGGUAUGUUAAGUUUGCUGUUAAAUCCUCCGGCCUAACCGGAGAUAGGCGGCGGAUACUGGCGUACUAGAGGGUGGAAGAGAGAAGUGGAAUUCUCGGUGUAGCGGUAAAAUGCGUAGAUAUCGAGAGGAACACCGAUGGCGAAGGCAGCUUCUUGGUCCAUUCCUGACGCUGAAACACGAAAGCGUGGGGAGC